rnacentral:rRNA from 1 species
UACGAAGGGGGCUAGCGUUGUUCGGAAUUACUGGGCGUAAAGCGCACGUAGGCGGUUAUUUAAGUCAGGGGUGAAAUCCCGCAGCUCAACUGCGGAACUGCCUUUGAUACUGGGUAUCUUGAGUAUGGAAGAGGUAAGUGGAAUUCCGAGUGUAGAGGUGAAAUUCGUAGAUAUUCGGAGGAACACCAGUGGCGAAGGCGGCUUACUGGUCCAUUACUGACGCUGAGGUGCGAAAGCGUGGGGAGCAAACAGG